rnacentral:rRNA from 1 species
UAGGGAAUUUUCGUCAAUGGGCGCAAGCCUGAACGAGCAAUGCCGCGUGAACGAGGAAGGUCUUCGGAUCGUAAAGUUCUGUUGAGAGGGAAAAAGGGUCACCAGAGGAAAUGCUGGUGAAGUGAUAUUACCUUUCGAGGAAGUCACGGCUAACUACGUGCCAGCAGCCGCGGUAAUACGUAGGUGGCGAGCGUUAUCCGGAAUGAUUGGGCGUAAAGGGUGCGUAGGCGGCCUGUUAAGUCUGAAGUGAAAGGUACCGGCUCAACUGGUACAGGCUUUGGAAACUGGCAGGCUGGAGGACAGGAGAGGGCGGUGGAACUCCAUGUGUAGCGGUAAAAUGCGUAGAUAUAUGGAAGAACACCAGUGGCGAAGGCGGCCGCCUGGCCUGUUACUGACGCUGAGGCACGAAAGCGUGGGGAGCAAAUAGG